rnacentral:rRNA from 1 species
AGAGUUUGAUCCUGGCUCAGAGUGAACGCUAGCGGUGCGCCUAACACAUGCAAGUCGAGCGCCUGUAGCAAUACAGGAGCGGCGAACGGCUGAGUAACACGUUGGUAUCUACCCCAGACUCAGGGAUAACCUGCCGAAAGGCGGGCUAAUACCGGAUGGCCCCGCAAGGGUAAAGCUUUUGCGGUCUGGGAGGAGCCUGCGGCCUAUCAGGUAGUUGGUAAGGUAACGGCUUACCAAGCCGAUGACGGGUAGCUGGUCUGAGAGGACGACCAGCCAGAAUGGAACUGCGAUACGGUCCAUACUCCUACGGGAGGCAGCAGUGAGGAAUCUUCCGCAAUGGGCGAAAGCCUGACGGAGCGACACCGCGUGAAGGAUGAAGUCUUUUUUAGAUGUAAACUUCUGUUCUGAGGGACGAAAUUUUGACGGUACCUCAGAGAAG